CACCCGGCGAUGUCACCCCCCCUCCCCAGGUGCCAGCCCCAGCUGUCCCCUCCCCUCACCUGUAGCGCCGGCGCUGUUGCACCAGGUGUCGGCGGCGCUGCCGCUGCAGCCGCGGGUGUCGCUCCAUGGCCGGCGUGGUGGCUGCGGUGACAUCGACAGGUGUGAACAGGUGUGUCACAGGUGUGUCCCCAGCUGUCACCCGGUGUCCCCCCAGCUGUCCCCCGGUGUCCCCAGGUGUCCCAGGUGUGCUCACCUGUACCCUCGGGCAGCUCCCAGGUGUUGUACCCCUCGAGCCAGCGGUAGCACGGGAAGUGGAAGGGCCCCAGGUCAGCGACGUCAUCGGUGUCACCUGUGGGGGUGACGUCACCUGGAGUGGCACAGGUGUCACCUGCAGGGGUGACGUCACCUGGAGUGGAACUGGUGUCACCUGCGGUAGUGAUGUCACCUGUGAUGUCACAGGCGUCACCUGCAGCGGUGAUGUCACCUGGAGUGGCACAGGUGUCACUUUUGCAGGUUAUGAUGUGAUGUGUGCCACUCCAGGUGUCACCUAUGCCACCACCUUCACCUGUGCUGGCAGUGACGAUGUCACCUGUGCCAUUCCAGGUGCAACUUGUGCCAUUGCAGGUGUCACCUGUGCACCUGAUGAUGUCACCUGUGCCAUUGCAGAUGUCACCUGUGCCAUUACAGCUGUCACCUGUGCACCUGAUGAUGUCACCUGUGCCACUCCAGGUGUCACCCGUGCCAUUGCAGGUGUCCCAAAUGCCACUGCAGGUGUCACCUGUGCCACUCCAGGUGUCACCUGUGCCACUCCAGGUGUCACCUAUGCCAUAGCAGGUGUCACCUGUGCCACCACCCUCACCUGUGCUGGCAGUGCCGAUGUCACCUGUGCCAUUCCAGGUGUCACCUGUGCCAUUGCAGGUGUCCCCAGUGCCACUCCAGGUGUCACCUGUGUCACUGCAGGUGUCACCUGUGCCACUCCAGGUGUCACCUGUGCCACCACCCUCACCUCUGCUGGCAGUGCCAAUGUCACCUGUGUCACUGCAGGUGUCACCUGUGCCACUCCAGGUGUCACCUGUGCCACCACGCUCACCUGUGCUGGCAGUGCCGAUGUCACUCGCGCUGUCCUCAGGCUCCUCCUCCAGCUCCUCCUCCUCUGUCACCUCCUCGCUGUCACCUGUCCCCUCCUCCUCCUCCUCCUCUGCCACCUCCUCCUCGCUGUCACCUUCAUCCUCCUCCUCCUCCUCCUCCUCGUCCCAGCUGUCCCCAUCGCUGUCACCAUCACUGUCACCGUCGCUGUCACCGUCGCUGUCACCGUCACUGUCCCCGGGGGUGUUCCCGGGGGUGUCCCCGCGCUGUCCCCACACGGUGACGCUCUCCAGGUACCAGGAGCUCUCGGGGAGACCCCCACAGGGCCCCUUGUGCACCUGCAGCAGCAACAGGCGGCCCAGGGGACGGGGGACAGGGACACGGUACUCUGUCACCUGGGGACACGGGGACAUUGUCAGUGUGUCACUGUCACUGUGUCACUGUCACUGUGUCACUGUCACUGUGACUGUGUCACUGUCAGUGUGUCACUGUGUCACUGUCACUGUGUCACUGUGUCCCUGUCACUGUGUCACUGUCACUGUGUCACUGUCACUGUGUCACUGUGUCACUGUCACUGUGUCACUGUGUCACUGUGUCACUGUGUCACUGUCACACACCAGCUCCAGGCUGUGACAUGGACUGUGAUGUCACUCGCUCCAUGCCACCGUUGUCCCUGCUGUCCCCAGCCCGGCAGUGUCACUGUCACCUUGCUGCGCGGCUGUUGUCACCACAGUGCCACUGUCACCUCCACUGUGGCUGUGCCACCACCGCUGUGUCACCAUCGCUGUCACUGUGCCACCACCACCGCUGUGCCACCGCUGUCACCACUGUGCCACCACCGCUGUGUCACCACCAUCGUGUCACCAUUGUC
ensembl:lncRNA